GAUGAACGCUAGCUACAGGCUUAACACAUGCAAGUCGAGGGGUAACGAGAGGAAGGCUUGCUUUCCUUGUCGACGACCGGCGCACGGGUGAGUAACGCGUAUCCAACCUGCCCCCAACUAGGGAAUAACCUUGCGAAAGUAAGACUAAUACCCUAUAAUUUCCUCAGAUGUCAUCUGACGAGGAAUAAAGAUUUAUCGGUUGUGGAUGGGGAUGCGUCUGAUUAGCUUGUUGGCGGGGUAACGGCCCACCAAGGCAACGAUCAGUAGGGGUUCCGAGAGGAAGGUCCCCCACAUUGGAACUGAGACACGGUCCAAACUCCUACGGGAGGCAGCAGUGAGGAAUAUAGGUCAAUGGGCGGAAGCCUGAACCAGCCAAGUAGCGUGCAGGAUGACGGCCCUAUGGGUUGUAAACUGCUUUUAUACAGGAAUAAAGUUAGCCACGUGUGGUUAUUUGUAGGUACUGUAUGAAUAAGGACCGGCUAAUUCCGUGCCAGCCGCCGCAGUAA
rnacentral:rRNA from 1 species